GGGGAGGGGGGCUUAAGCCCCCCCUUACAUCUUAAUGUGGUCGCCAUUGAUGUUGCAUGCACCCCGGAGUGACACUACUUUGUGAUUACAAACUAUACAUAUAUAUAAUGACAAUUAUUUCUUUUUCGCCAAAAAAUAUAAUAAUGAUGAUGAUUUGUAUGAUAUAAUUACAAAUUAUUAUACUACAUGUUUCGUGUAUAUUGAUGAUGAUACGAAUUUUCAAACUCUUUUAUUGCAGCCUACAUACCAAGUCAUUCAACCAAUCAAUGGUGACCCAUUCAUUGGGAGUCUCGAGACACCUGUCACCUCAAGCCCAUUGGUGGCAUGGUACUUGUCCAACCUCCCGGCCUACCGGACAGCUGUCAACCCGCUGCUCCGAGGGGUCGAGGUUGGGCUGGCCCACGGAUUUCUCCUCGUGGGCCCAUUCGUGAAGACGGGCCCGCUCCGGAACACCCCGAUUGCAGGUAGCGCGGGCUCAUUGGGCGCGGCCGGACUAGUUGUGAUCCUCAGCAUCUGCCUGACCAUUUAUGGGAUCGCGUCUUUUAAGGAGGGGGAGCCUUCGACUGCUCCUGGCCUGACGCUGACGGGGCGGAAGAAGGAGCCCGAUCAGCUACAGACGGCCGACGGGUGGGCUAAGUUCACCGGCGGAUUCUUCUUCGGAGGGAUCUCCGGUGUGACUUGGGCUUACUUUUUGCUCUAUGUUCUUGACCUUCCUUACUUUGU
rnacentral:lncRNA from 1 species